AUGUUAAGGAAAUUUUUGAGGGGCUCUUCUAGCCAAGGCUCUCAGGAAAAACAAGCUAAAGAGAAGGAAAAAUCCAAGUAUAAUCUUCCUCACUUAGCGGAAGUGCGGUCGUGUGAAUGGCCAUGCAAUGAUUUCUUGAAAGAAGCUAGAAUUCAUGAAGAUUUUUAUUCUUUGAUUGAGACUACAGGCCUCACCGGUUUCAUCAACGACCAGAUCGAUCAGUAUCUCUUACUCACUAAUACUUUUGUGCAAAACUUUUAUUAUUAUCCUAAGAAGUCAGCGUCUGUAGUAUCAUUUCAUUUAUAUGAUGAAUUCAGAGAAAUGUCUUUACGUAAUUUUUGCGCGGUGUGUAGGAUACCUUAUGAGGGAGAAUUAGAGGAACCCCAUCGUAAAGAUGUGGAUGGCUUUGUUAAUACUAUCGCUGUAGAGGAGCCAAAGAAGGGUUCCGAGCCAAAAGUCUCUAGCAUACACUUUCCUGUUUUACGCUACUUUGUCAUGGAAAUAGUGGAAACUUAA
rnacentral:rRNA from 1 species